AUCUCUUAAGACAAGGCUUGCAUCUAGAAGGUUUAAUAAGUGGACAUAUAUACUCAAUGCUUACUCAAAUUUGCGUAUAAAAAAGCUUAUGAAUUUUAAGGAGAAAGAUGGCUUUUCAUUUUGAUUGGUGAUGAACUGGACUAAUUAUACCACUCACCAGUGGCAUGGAAUCUUUGAGUUAAGGUGAAAAGGGUUGCAUUGGUGAGCUUCUUUUGUAUUUCUCUUGCCUUUCGAAGGGCACGAGACUGAGGAUGUAUACUUUUAU